rnacentral:rRNA from 1 species
CCUACGGGAGGCUGCAGUGGGGAAUAUUGGACAAUGGGGGGAACCCUGAUCCAGCCAUGCCGCGUGUGUGAAGAAGGCCCUCGGGUUGUAAAGCACUUUCAGUGAGGAAGAACGCCUGGUGGUUAAUACCCAUCAGGAAAGACAUCACUCACAGAAGAAGCACCGGCUAACUCCGUGCCAGCAGCCGCGGUAAUACGGAGGGUGCGAGCGUUAAUCGGAAUUACUGGGCGUAAAGCGCGCGUAGGUGGCUUGAUAAGCCGGUUAUGAAAGCCCCGGGCUCAACCUGGGAACGGCAUCCGGAACUGUCAAGCUAGAGUGCAGGAGAGGAAGGUAGAAUUCCCGGUGUAGCGGUGAAAUGCGUAGAGAUCGGGAGGAAUACCAGUGGCGAAGGCGGCCUUCUGGACUGACACUGACACUGAGGUGCGAAAGCGUGGGUAGCAAACAGGAUUAGAUACCCUUGUAGUC